AAAUAAUCAAAUUUCCUUAUCAAUUCCAUGAGAAUGAACUCUCGGCAGAUCUUUAACCAUGGGCAUUUUAAAGUCUUUUUUCAUUUACAAAGAGUUAGUGUUUUACUCUGAUGUUUUUGCAAAAGUAAGACUCAUGGAAAGGACCUCACCAAGUGCUCCUGACCACUGACACAGCUGUGAAACUAGAACUUGGAUACUCAUCUCAUAGCUGAAGAAGGCUCCGCCUGACAUCUUGUCCUAUGCAAAUGCUAGAGACCUCAGCAUCAAACUGCCUGGGAAGAGAAGUAGACAACACCAAGACUCUGCCCUGAAACUUCCAGCUGCUUCAGACUGUUAGAACACCAACCUCUGAUAACUCAACUUGGCGGGACCACUGCAGUGAAGAUUAGCCCUGAGCUAACAUCUACUGCCAAUCCUCCUCUUUUUGCUGAGGAAGACUGGUCCUGAGCAAACAUCUGUGCCCAUCUUCCUCUACUUUGUAUGUGAGACACCUGCCACAGCAUGGCUAAUGAGCUGUCCUGUCUGCACCUGGGAUCCAGGCCAGCGAACCCCCCAGCUGCCAAAGUGGAGUGCACAAACUUAACUGCUAAGCCACUGGGCCAGCCCAAUAUAUUCAUAGUUUUUGCUAACAAUAUUCAUACAGUUACAAAUUUCACUUUUAGUAGAAUUUGCUUUGGAAAACAGGUUGUUUAUUCCUAAUUAAGUGAUACAUAAUUAGUGAAUCAUCUAUUACAAAACUUCUUUGAUGAAAGUUACACUUUGGUUAGACCUUGGCACAGGAAGGUUUGGAAAGAGUCCAGGGCACCUUGGCACAGUGUUGGUUGUGAUUGUGGAUAAAGAAGCAGUGGCUUAGCUCAUGUUUAGGUGUCAUAAAUAGGCUAGAGUUGGGCCCCAGGAAAUGCUAGGCUUACUUGUUAGGAGAGCAAGUGGUAUUGCCAAGUGUGACCUCAAGGAAGCAAGUAGAAGGAGUGUAAUACGAAAGCUCAGUGGAGUCUUUGCCAGUAGAAGAAAGAUAAGACUCCAACAGUGGAUUCAGAAUUCUAGAAUAUGUAUUACUUUUGUCUAAUGCAG
rnacentral:lncRNA from 1 species